AAGACCCAGAAGGCCAGCUUUGAAGAAAACCUGGAGAAAGAGAGAGUCACAAAUCAUCCCCUGACUGCAGGAGACACAGAAAUGGCAGAAGGAUAAUGAAGCUCCAAUCUUCAAAAACUUCAUGGGUUAAAGGAGUCACCCAGCUGCUAGGCUGGUCAAAGGGCACACCAGUCACAAAUAUACAGAAGUACCUGAUCUCUUCAAAGUCUAAGGUUUGGAGCUAUCGCUGUGAGCUACCUCUUCCAGUACAACCUGCUUAGCCUUAUGGCACCUUUACUCUGGCUGGAUACUCUCUGGGUUGCAUGCCUUGUCCCAGACAUCCUGGAACACCAACCCUCCCAGCAAUUCCAGGGGUCUCUUGACUACAGAAGACAGCACUACAUUCUCAGCUGGCUGCUGAAGUCCUUCUUGGUUCCAUCCAGCACAUGGCAAAUACCACCAUUGCGCUUGCCUCCUGUAGGGAUCAUAGGUUAUGCUGUCAAACGCUAAUGCAGCCCAGUCACCACUCUGAGGAACCCUUGGUCAGCCUUCUUCUAGCUGGGAGCCACCUCCCAAAGCUGUGGUCCCCCGUGCCUGUCCAGCCAUUCUGAGACUGAAGAGAUCAACAUUUUAUCGCACAACAGUUACCUUUUUGAUGCCAGAGCACACUGAUUGGGAAGCUCUGUUUUAAGGUUUCUUGCAAGCAGGGACUGGACUUCUGCUUAUUCGAAAUUCCCUACCUCAAUUGCAACCAGCAUACUGAUGGGCACCAGGUACUCCAGUGGUUCUAAACCCUGAACACACAUCAGAAUCACCUACAGAUGUUUGGGUUCUAUUCCCCAGGGCAAUGGUUCACAUAGUUUGAUUCCCUGGACCAGCAGCACCAGUAUCACCUGAGAAUUUGUUAGAAAUGCAACUUAUCAAGCCCUACCCACAACCUACACAAUCAGAAACUCUGGGGUAGGGCCCAGCAGUCUAUGAUUUUGAAAUCCACUAAGAUUUGAGAAUUGCUGCACUAAGGACUCUGAUUUAGAAGGUAUGGAGUGGAGUUCAGAAAACUUUAUGGAAAAAGUACCAUUAUCUGGCAAACUCCAUGAGGUCAAAGUAGGGUCCAAUUUUGUAUGCCAUUAUACCUCAAGUGCCUGUAUUAGUGCCUGACACAUGGUCUGGACUAGAAAGUAUUUGUGGAAUAAAAGAAAGAAAUGCAGUUUGUGAGGCCCAGGUAUAGGGCAACUAUAUUUCUCAGUGUCUGGUGACUUUUAUAGAAAUUAGAUACAAGUUCUUUGGAAGAUAAAUAUUCCCUUUGAAGGUGCCAUUUAUUGCAAGGCCUCAAUUAUUUAACAAAUGAUGCACUUGUGGCUCAUUUAGUAGCUCCAACUAGUGAUUUGGCUUAUGAGAGAAUUUUGAAAAACAAUCCAAAAAGUCAGACUUUAGAAACCUAAAUGCCUUUACCAAAUUAAAGGUAACUUUGAAUUUUUUUGUUUUUGUUUUUGUUUUUUUUGAGACGGAGUUUGAUUCUUGUUGCCCAGGCUGGAGUGCAGUGGCGCAAUCUUGGCUCACUGCAACCUCCACCUCCUGGGUUCAAAUGAUUCUUGUGCCUCAGCCUCCUGAGUAGCUGGUAUUACUGCCGCCUGCCACCAUGCCCAGCUAAUUUUUUGUAUUAUUAUUAGAGACGGGUUUUUACCAUGUUGGCCAGCCUGGUCUCAAACUCCUGACCUCAGGCAAUCCACCUGCCUUGGCCUCCCAAAGUGCUAGGAUUAUAGACGUGAGCCACCCUGCCUGGCCUGCAUUUUUUUUCUGUCAGGAGCACUUACCACAUUGAGUUCUUUGGGGAUUUCUCAUCUUCUUGACUACAGUGAGGACACUAUGAGCUCUUGUACUCUACAGAAAAAAGGAAGAAAAUUCUUCUGCAUUUCACCUUCAAAAUAUAGGUAGAAUAAACUAAAGCUACAGCAGACUAGGAUUUCCAAGAGACCAUUAUAUAUAUUCAAAUAACAAGUUGUCAGAGAGUGUACUCUGUUCUUUAAACAGCUUGUCAUUGAUGCAUUGAUUCUACUACCUGAAAAUUGUGGUGUAAGACCAAACAGAGAAUGCUGAAAGGUAUUCCUUCUCUCAGAGAGCUCACAGCACAGCAGAGAAACGAGAGCAGGAAAGACAAAUAACUACAACCCCUCUUGAUCCUCCUUAGUAGUCAAUAGAGCCCUUUCCAAUGUUUUUCUUUAUCUGCUUAUUUGUGAAUUUGUUGUCUUCCCACCUCACUAGAACAUAAGUGAAAGAAAUCUCAUUUACCACCACAUCUGACUGGCAUUGAGGAUAUUUCCUGGUGCUGGUGGACACAAUAAAUAUCUCUUGAAUGGAAUGCCGGUGAAGGAAACACAAAGUUAAACACAUGAAUUACUACUUUUAAAAUAUUAGAUCCCACACUGAGGCAUUUAUUUUCAUGUUCUCUGAUGAAGAAUCAUGCUCUGGAUUCACAUGGAUCUGCGGGGUUCAAGUCUUGGUUCUGAAACUUGACUCUGUGUGGUCUUAACCACAUUGCUUAACUUUUGACAGCUGCUGCCUCCAACGAUACUCUAUAUUGUCUCACCUGAAGUUUAAUUUAUCUCUAAGUCUUUUCUUUAAGAUAAGCCAAAAAAUGUCCCAUAAUAUUGAAAAGUGUAUUUCACUGGUUCCAAGGACUCCUCACUUAAAACUUUGAAAUUACAACUAUUUUUAUGAAAAACUAUGUAUGUUACAUUAAAUUUAUAUUCUUAUUAUUUUUGUAGAAGGCUCUUUAGCUGCCUCAAAGUGCUAAAUUAUCUUUUUCAUAAGAGGAUAAUUUAACCCAGCAACAUUGUGAUAACUCGCCAUGACUUCCAAAUAUAGCUCCAAUUUACCCAAGCAAUAUUAAAGGACUUUUAAAAUUAGGAGCACAGCUAAAGAAUUUCCUCCUUGGUUUUACAAGUAAAAUUAACGUGACUGCGAAUAACUUUAAAACGUGAGACAAGACUUAUUUACCUUAAGAGUAUUAUUGUUUAGUCUAUUGAAGUAAUUUUAAAUUCCACUCUUAUUAUUUUAGGCGUCAAUAACUCCAACAAAAAGUUUUUAUUUGUACAUAUAGAUAUAUGUGUUAUGUUUAUAUAAUCACUAAAUGAAUGUUUUUAGAACCAUGUUUUUCAAACUUUUUCUUCCCAUUGGUGAAAUGAGAUGGUCUUUUCCAUGAGUUUUCUAAAUAAGCUGCAAGAUUCCUUCUCACGUGUUCUGUGAGAUGUACUUUCUGGUAGUGAGACGCCUAGCCACCAACCUGGGACAACCAUGAGACCUGGUGAGAGAAUUGUUAAAUCAUGAAACUCUCCAAGCUUCUAGUGCUCUAUAGGUAAGGUCAGAAUUGUAACACCUGUCCUACUUUACAGAUCAAAUAAAAAAUUGUGUAUAAGAGUGCUGUGGUUUGACUGUGUCCUCCAAAGUUCAUGUGUUGGAAACUUAAUUCCAAAUGCAACAGUAUUGAGAAGUGGGACAUUUAAGAGGUGAGUAGGAAACAAGGGCCCUGCCUUCAUGAAUGAAUUAAAUGCUGUAUUGCAAGAGUGGAUUCCUAAUAAAAGGAUGAGACAAGUUGGGCAUCAUUUCCCUUCUUCUCUUUUAAUCGCCUCACUUCUGUCUUCUACAAUGGGAUGACAAGCAAGAAGAUCUUCACUAGAUGCUGGUGCUUUGAUAUUGAACUUUGCAGCAUCUAGAACUGUGAGAAAUAAAUUUCUCUUCUUCAUAAAUUAUCCAGUCUGGGAAACACCAUUAUAACAUGACACAGAGAAAGACAAAGUGUUCCAUAAGUGGAAAAACUAUAUAUACAUAUGUGUGUAUGUAUAACAGCAUAUGUAUAUAUAGUACUGUAUCAGCAUAACACUAAACACUACAUAUGUAUAAAUAUGUAUAUACAUAUACAGCCAUGCAUCACUUAACAAUGGGGAUACAUUCUGAGAAAUGUGUCAUUAGGCAGUUUCUUCAUCAUGCAAAGAUCAUAGAGUGUACUUACAAAAACCUAGAUGGUACAGCCUACUACAUGCCUAGGCCAUGUGGUCUAGCCUAUUGCUCCUGGGCUACAAACCUGUGCAUGUUACAAUACUGAAUACAGGAGGCAAUUGUAACAUGAUGGUAAGUAUGUAUGUAAACAUAUCUAAACAUUGAAACAGUACAGUAAAAGCAUGAUAUAAAAGAUUAAAAAAUGGUACACUGCUAUAGGGUACUUACAUAAAUGCAGCUUGCAGGACCCAAAGUUGCCCUGAGUGAGUCAAUGAGUGAGUAGUGAGUAGAUGUGAAGGCCUAGGACAUUACCGUACACUAUUGCAGACCUUAUAAACACUAUACAUUUAGGCUACAUGCAUUUUAUAAAAACGUAUUUUUCUUCAGUUAUCAGCCUUAGCUCACCAUACUUUUUUACUUUAUAAUUUUUUGGCUAUUUUGUAUUAACAGCUUAAAACACAAAACACAUUGUGCAGUUUUGGAAAAAUAUUUUUUUCUUUAAGUUUAUUCUAUUUUUUAAAUUAUUUUUACUUUUAAAGCUUUUUUUGUUAAAAACUGAGACAUAGGCUGGGCACAGUGGCUCAUGCCUGUAAUUCCAGCACUUUGGGAAGCCGAGGAGGGUGGAUCACAAGGUCAAGAGAUUGAGACCAUCCUGGCCAACAUGGCGAAACCCCAUCUCUACUAAAAAUACAAAAAAUUAGCCAGGCGUGGUAACACACGCCUGUAGUUCCAGCUACUCAGGAGAAUCGCUUGAACCCAGGAAGCACAGGUUGCAGUGAGCAAAGACUGCCACACUGCACUCCAGCCUGGCGACAGAGCAAGACUUCAUCUCCAAAACAAAAACAAAUACAAAAACAAAACAGAUAUAAACACACACAAUAGCCUAGGCCUACAUGGGAUCAUUAAUAUCACUGUCUUCCACCUCCAUGUCUUGUCCCACUAAAAGGUUUACAAUGUCACUAGGCAAUAGGAAUUUUUCAGCGCCAUUGUAAUCUUAUGGGAUCAACGUUGUACAUGUGGUCCAUUGUUGACUGAAACAUUGCU